rnacentral:miRNA from 4 species
GCGACAAGUAAGCCCCGAAAAUGGGGUCAGGGUUAAUUUUCCAGGAAAUCUUUCCUGGAAAAUUAACCCUGACCCCAUUUUGAGGUUUAGAUUUUGA